GCGCACCGCGAUCGUCACUCAUCUGUCUACGGCCGCUGCCCUCUUAACGGCUAACCCUAACGAUGUAUGUACGAAGCAGGACCGGAUUGCAGCUGCGUUUUCCACACGCUCUACGUCUUCGAGGCGGAGAGCAAAGUGGGAGCACAAAAUACAGCAUUUGCGGAAAUCGCAGAAUGAUCUUACAUCGGCAAGACUAUCAAAACAAAGUGCUCAAUAGCAUGGUAGUUCCAUGGCCACUUCAGUUAUGUGACGCGACAUGGAGCUCACUCGUACGUCUCCCAC
rnacentral:lncRNA from 1 species